GGUUGUGGCUCAGGGGUAGAGCACUUGCCUGGCAUGUGUGAGGCCUUGGGUUUGAUCCUCAGCACCA
rnacentral:tRNA from 1 species